AUGCUAAUACCGCAUACGCCCUACGGGGGAAAGCAGGGGAUCUUCGGACCUUGCGCUAAUAGAUGAGCCUAAGUCAGAUUAGCUAGUUGGUGGGGUAAAGGCCUACCAAGGCGACGAUCUGUAGCGGGUCUGAGAGGAUGAUCCGCCACACUGGGACUGAGACACGGCCCAGACUCCUACGGGAGGCAGCAGUGGGGAAUAUUGGACAAUGGGCGCAAGCCUGAUCCAGCCAUGCCGCGUGUGUGAAGAAGGCCUUUUGGUUGUAAAGCACUUUAAGCGAGGAGGAGGCUACUUGGAUUAAUACUCUAGGAUAGUGGACGUUACUCGCAGAAUAAGCACCGGCUAACUCUGUGCCAGCAGCCGCGGUAAUACAGAGGGUGCGAGCGUUAAUCGGAUUUAC
rnacentral:rRNA from 1 species